ACACCGAUGGUGAAGUGGUUAUCAUGCUUGCCUUCCAUGGAACGGGAAUCGAACCCGCCGGCAGCAAGCGGCACGGGUUCGAUUCCCGUUCGGUGUA